rnacentral:misc_RNA from 1 species
AAUUCUCAAAGGCCCAGUUGGUUUUAACAAUCGAUCGGGACUUUGGACUGUGAGGGUUGCCGGUUCUUAACUGGAUCGGACUCCCUUGAAAUACAUUAGUGGUUAUCGAUCCGCUUCCACUUGGUUGUGAUAGGUCUAUCUACGCCUUUGGAGCUGGUCAGCUUGCUAUCCGCUUCUAACUGUCCAUCCGAUGGACAACUCUUUGACAAU